CAAGUACUCCCUCCGUCCGGAGUUACUUGUCAUCAAAAUGGAUGUGUCUAGAACUAAAAUACAUCUAGAUACAUCCAUUUCAAUGACAAGUAUUUUCUGACGGAGGGAGUACAAG
rnacentral:pre_miRNA from 1 species